UACAGAGGGGCAAGCGUUGUUCGGAAUUACUGGGCGUAAAGGGCGCGUAGGCGGCCUGCUAAGUCGAACGUGAAAUCCCUGGGCUCAACCCAGGAACUGCGUCCGAUUAACUGGUUGGCUUGAAUCCGGGAGAGGGAUGUGGAAGUUCCAGGUGUAGCGGUGAAAUGCGUAGAUAUCUGGAGGAACACCGGUGGCGAAGGCGACAUCCUGGACCGGCAUUGACGCUGAGGCGCGAAAGCCAGGG
rnacentral:rRNA from 1 species